UACGAAGGGGGCUAGCGUUGCUCGGAAUCACUGGGCGUAAAGCGCACGUAGGCGGAUCGCUAAGUCAGGGGUGAAAUCCUGGAGCUCAACUCCAGAACUGCCUUUGAUACUGGCAAUCUCGAGUCCGGGAGAGGUGAGUGGAACUGCGAGUGUAGAGGUGAAAUUCGUAGAUAUUCGCAAGAACACCAGUGGCGAAGGCGGAUCUCUGGACAGCUCCUGACGCUGAGGCGCGAAGGCUAGGGGAGCAAACGGG
rnacentral:rRNA from 1 species